rnacentral:rRNA from 1 species
CCUACGGGAGGCAGCAGUGGGGAAUAUUGGACAAUGGUGGGAACCCUGAUCCAGCCAUGCCGCGUGUGUGAAGAAGGCCCUCGGGUUGUAAAGCACUUUCAGUGAGGAAGAACGCCUGGUGGUUAAUACCCAUCAGGAAAGACAUCACUCACAGAAGAAGCACCGGCUAACUCCGUGCCAGCAGCCGCGGUAAUACGGAGGGUGCGAGCGUUAAUCGGAAUUACUGGGCGUAAAGCGCGCGUAGGUGGCUUGAUAAGCCGGUUGUGAAAGCCCCGGGCUCAACUUGGGAACGGCAUCCGGAACUGUCAAGCUAGAGUGCAGGAGAGGAAGGUAGAAUUCCCGGUGUAGCGGUGAAAUGCGUAGAGAUCGGGAGGAAUACCAGUGGCGAAGGCGGCCUUCUGGACUGACACUGACACUGAGGUGCGAAAGCGUGGGUAGCAAACAGGAUUAGAUACCCGAGUAGUC